rnacentral:rRNA from 1 species
AGAAUCAACGCUGGCGGCGUGCCUAACACAUGCAAGUCGAACGAGAAAGUGGAGCAAUCCAUGAGUAAAGUGGCGCACGGGUGAGUAACACGUGACUAACCUACCUUUUAGUGGGGGAUAACCUAGGGAAACCUGGGCUAAUACCGCAUAAUACCUACGGGUCAAAGCAGCAAUGCGCUGAAAGAGGGGGUCGCGGUCGAUUAGUUAGUUGGCAGGGUAAUGGCCUACCAAGACUGUGAUCGAUAUCCGGCCUGAGAGGGCGCACGGACACACUGGAACUGAAACACGGUCCAGACUCCUACGGGAGGCAGCAGUGGGGAAUUUUGCGCAAGUGGGGGGAAACCCUGACGCAGCAACGCCGCGUGGAGGAUGAAGUCCCUUGGGACGUAAACUCCUUUCGAUCGGGACGAUAAUGACGGUACCGGAAGAAGAAGCCCCGGCUAACUUCGCGCCAGCAGCCGC